rnacentral:rRNA from 1 species
AUUGAACGCUAGCGGGAUGCUUUACACAUGCAAGUCGAACGAGUGGCGGACGGGUGAGUAAUAUAUCGGAACGUGCCCAGUAGCGGGGGAUAACUACUCGAAAGAGUGGCUAAUACCGCAUAAUCUUGCAGCGGCCGAGAGCGGAUUAGCUAGUGGGUGGGGUAAAGGCUCACCAAGGCAACGAUCCUUAGCUGGUUUGAGAGGACGACCAGCCACACUGGGACUGAGACACGGCCCAUACCCCUACGGGAGGCAGGAGUGGGGAAUUUUGGACAAGGGGGGGAAACCUGAUCCAGCCAUCCCGCGUGUAUGAGAAGGCCUUCGGGUUGUAAAGUACUUUCAGUCGGGGAGCGUUACCCACAGAAGCAGCACCGGCUAACUCCGUGCCAGCAGCCGCGGUAAUUC